rnacentral:rRNA from 1 species
GGGGAAUAUUGCACAAUGGGGGAAACCCUGAUGCAGCAACGCCGCGUGAGUGAAGAAGGUUUUCGGAUCGUAAAGCUCUGUCAUCCGGGACGAUAAUGACGGUACCGGAAGAGGAAGCCACGGCUAACUACGUGCCAGCAGCCGCGGUAAUACGUAGGUGGCGAGCGUUGUCCGGAAUUACUGGGCGUAAAGGGUGUGCAGGCGGAUAUUUAAGUGAGAUGUGAAAGACCCGGGCUUAACCCGGGCAGUGCAUUUCAAACUGGAUAUCUAGAGUGCAGGAGAGGAGAACGGAAUUCCUAGUGUAGCGGUGAAAUGCGUAGAGAUUAGGAAGAACACCAGUGGCGAAGGCGGUUCUCUGGACUGUAACUGACGCUGAGGCACGAAAGCGUGGGUAGCAAAC